GCCAGGCGUGGUGGCGCACGCCUGUGGUCCCAGCUACUUGGGAGGCUGAGGCAGAAGAAUCGCUUGAAUCCGGGAGGCGGAAGUUGCAGUGAGCUGAGAUCAUGCCACUGCACUCCAGCCUGGGCAACAGAGUGAGAGUCUGUCUCAA
rnacentral:SRP_RNA from 1 species